rnacentral:rRNA from 1 species
AUACGGAGGGUGCAAGCGUUACUCGGAAUCACUGGGCGUGAAGGAUGCGUAGGCGGAUAAUCAAGUCAAAAGUGAAAUCCCACGGCUUAACCGUGGAACUGCUUUCGAAACUGGUUAUCUAGAAUAUGGAAGAGGCAGAUGGAAUUAGUGGUGUAGGGGUAAAAUCCGUAGAGAUCACUAGGAAUACCGAUUGCGAAGGCGAUCUGCUGGGACAUUAUUGACGCUGAGGCAUGAAAGCGUGGGGAGCAAACAGGAUUAGAUACCCCAGUAGUCC